CACGUAGGGUGCGAGCGUUGUCCGGAAUUAUUGGGCGUAAAGAGCUCGUAGGCGGUGUGUCGCGUCGGCCGUGAAAACUUGCAGCUUAACUGUGGGCGUGCGGUCGAUACGGGCAUCACUGGAGUUCGGCAGGGGAGACUGGAAUUCCUGGUGUAGCGGUGAAAUGCGCAGAUAUCAGGAGGAACACCGGUGGCGAAGGCGGGUCUCUGGACCGGAACUGACGCUGAGGCGCGAAAGCGUGGGGAGCAAACAGG
rnacentral:rRNA from 1 species